GAUGAAGAACGCAGCGAAAUGCGAUACGUAAUGUGAAUUGCAAAUUCAGUGAAUCAUCGAGUCUUUGAACGCACAUUGCGCCCCCUGGUAUUCCGGGGGGCAUGCCUGUCCGAGCGUCAUUGCUGCCCUCAAGCACGGCUUGUGUGUUGGGCCCCGUCCUCCGAUCCCGGGGGACGGGCCCGAAAGGCAGCGGCGGCACCGCGUCCGGUCCUCGAGCGUAUGUGGCUUUGUCACCCGCUCUGUAGGCCCGGCCGGCGCUUGCCGAUCAACCCAAAUUUUUAUCCAGGUUGACCUCGGAUCAGGUAGGGAUACCCGCUGAACUUAAGCAUAUCAAUAAGCGGAGGA
rnacentral:misc_RNA from 1 species